GAUGAACGCUAGCGGCAGGCCUAACACAUGCAAGUCGAGGGAGGAGCUUUCGGGCUUCGACCGGCGUACGGGUGCGUAACGCGUAUACAAUCUGCCUUUCACAUAGGGAUAGCCCGAAGUAAUUUGGAUUAAUACCUAAUGAUAUAUGGGAGUGGCAUCACCUGUAUAUUAAAGCUGAGGCGGUGAAAGAUGAGUAUGCGUUCUAUUGGCUCGUUGGAGAGGUACCGGCUCCCCAAGGCGACGAUAGAUAGGGGUUCUGGGAGGGAUAUCCCCCACACUGGGACUGGGCUACGGACCAGACUCCUACGGGAGGCAGCAGUGCGGAAUAUUGGACAAUGGUCGGAAGCCUGAUCCAGCCAUGCCGCGUGCAGGAAGACGGCCUUAUGGGUUGUAACCUGCUUUUGCAGGGGAAGAAUAAGGAGUACGGGUACUUUGAUGACGGUACUCUGCGAAUAAGCAUCGGCUAACUCCGUG
rnacentral:rRNA from 1 species